GAAACUGCGAACGGCUCAUUACACCAGCCUUAAUUUACUUGACCUUGACACCCUACUUGGAUAACUGUGGUAAUUCUAGAGCUAAUACAUGCACCAAAGCUCCAAUCUCCCCAGAGCGGAGCGCAUUUGUUCGCCACAAAACCAAGCGCCUCAGGGCGUUCAGUGUUGACUCAGAACAACUAAGCUGAUCGCACGGUCUUGCACCGGCGACGUGUCUUUCAAGUGUCUGCCUUAUCAACUUUCGAUGGUAGUGUAUCUGACUACCAUGGUGAUGACGGGUAACGGAGGAUAAGGGUUCGACUCCGGAGAAGGGGCCUGAGAAAUGGCCACUACGUCUAAGGAUGGCAGCAGGCGCGCAAAUUACCCACUCUCGACGCGAGGAGGUAGUGACGAGAAAUAACGAGACCGUUCUCAUCUGAGGCCGGUCAUCGGAAUGGGUACAAUUUAAACCCUUUAACGAGUAUCUAUGAGAGGGCAAGUCUGGUGCCAGCAGCCGCGGUAAUUCCAGCUCUCAAAAUGCAUAGAAUUAUUGCUGCGGUUAAAAAGCUCGUAGUUGGAUCUGUGCUGAGCGACCGGUCUGCCCACUGGGCACGCACUGGCUCGCCCGGCUUUCCCUGCCGGUCUCUCUCUGACGUUGGUUUUAACCGGCUGGCGUCAGUGGGCUGGCGAGUUUACUUUGAACAAAUCAGAGUGCUUCAAACAGGCGUCUCGCCUGAAUGUUCGUGCAUGGAAUAAUAGAAGAGGAUCACGGUCCGAUUUUAUUGGUUUUGCUGACCGAGAUAAUGGUUAACAGAGACAAACGGGGCCAUUCGUAUUGCUACGUGAGAGGUGAAAUUCUUGGACCGUAGCAAGACGGACUACAGCGAAAGCAUUUGGCAAGAAUGUCUUCAUUAAUCAAGAACGAAAGUCAGAGGUUCGAAGGCGAUCAGAUACCGCCCUAGUUCUGACCGUAAACGAUGCCAACUAGCGAUCCGCCGGCGGAUUCAUUCGCCCUGGUGGGGAGCUUCCCGGAAACGAAAGUCUUCCGGUUCCGGGGGAAGUAUGGUUGCAAAGCUGAAACUUAAAGGAAUUGACGGAAGGGCACCACCAGGAGUGGAGCCUGCGGCUUAAUUUGACUCAACACGGGGAAACUCACCCGGCCCGGACACCGUAAGGAUUGACAGAUUGAUAGCUUUUUCAUGAUUCGGUGGAUGGUGGUGCAUGGCCGUUCUUAGUUCGUGGAGCGAUUUGUCUGGUUUAUUCCGAUAACGAGCGAGACUCUGGCCUACUAAAUAGUUGGCACAUUGCCACUGUGUGCACAACUUCUUAGAGGGAUUUUCGGUGUUCAGCCGCACGAAAUUGAGCAAUAACAGGUCUGUGAUGCCCUUAGAUGUCCGGGGCUGCACGCGCGCUACACUGGCAAAAUCAGCGUGCUUGUCCUCCCCCGAAAGGGGUUGGUAAACCGAUGAAAAUUUGCCGUGAUUGGGAUCGGACAUUGCAAUUAUUGUCCGUGAACGAGGAAUCCCUUGUAAGGGCGAGUCAUCAACUCGUCCUGAAUACGUCCCUGCCCUUUGUACACACCGCCCGUCGCUGCCCGGGACUGAGCCAUUUCGAGAAAACCGGGGAUUGUUGGCCUGACGGCUCUCGGGUCGUCUAGCCGAUGAGAACCGGCUUAAUCGCACUGGUUUGAACCGGGCAAAAGUCGUAACAAGGUAGCUGUAGGUGAACCUGCGGCAGGAUCA
rnacentral:rRNA from 1 species